CCUACGGGAGGCAGCAGUGGGGAAUAUUGCACAAUGGGGAAACCCUGAUGCAGCGACGCCGCGUGAGUGAAGAAAUAUUUCGGUAUGUAAAGCUCUAUCAGCCGGGAAGAAAAUUACCGUUCCUGAUUAAGAACCCCCCGCUAACUACGUGCCAGCAGACGCCGGACAACGUAGGGGGCAAGCGUUAGUCGGAUUUACUGGGUGUAAAGGGAGCGUAGACGGCAGGACCAGUAUGGAGGGAAAUGCCGGGGCUUAACCCCGGAACCGCUUUGGAAACUGUGCAGCUAGAGUGCAGGAGAGGUAAGUGGAAGUCCUAGUGUAGCGGUGAAAUGCGUAGAUAUUAGGAGGAACACCAGUGGCGAAGGCGGCUUACUGGACUGUAACUGACGUUGAGGCUCGAAAGCGUGGGGAGCAAACAGGAUUAGAUACCCUAGUAGUC
rnacentral:rRNA from 1 species